UAGGGAAUCUUCGGCAAUGGGGGCAACCCUGACCGAGCAACGCCGCGUGAGUGAAGAAGGUUUUCGGAUCGUAAAGCUCUGUUGUAAGAGAAGAACGUGUGUGAGAGUGGAAAGUUCACACAGUGACGGUAACUUACCAGAAAGGGACGACUAACUACGUGCCAGCAGCCGCGGUAAUACGUAGGUCCCGAGCGUUGUCCGGAUUUAUUGGGCGUAAAGCGAGCGCAGGCGGUUUAAUAAGUCUGAAGUUAAAGGCAGUGGCUUAACCAUUGUUCGCUUUGGAAACUGUUAAACUUGAGUGCAGAAGGGGAGAGUGGAAUUCCAUGUGUAGCGGUGAAAUGCGUAGAUAUAUGGAGGAACACCGGUGGCGAAAGCGGCUCUCUGGUCUGUAACUGACGCUGAGGCUCGAAAGCGUGGGGAGCAAACAGG
rnacentral:rRNA from 1 species